AUUAUGUCCCACACAUGCCUC
rnacentral:miRNA from 1 species